UACGUAGGGGGCAAGCGUUGUCCGGAAUCAUUGGGCGUAAAGCGCGUGUAGGCGGCUCGAUAAGUCUGCUGUGAAAGUCCAGGGCUCAACCCUGGGAUGCCGGUGGAUACUGUCGAGCUCGAGUCCGGAAGAGGCGAGUGGAAUUCCUGGUGUAGCGGUGAAUGCGCAGAUAUCAGGAGGAACACCGGUGGCGAAGGCGGAUCUCCUGGGCCGUAACUGACGCUGAGGAGCGAAAGCAUGGGGAGCGAACAGG
rnacentral:rRNA from 1 species